AAUAUUGCACAAUGGAGGAAACUCUGAUGCAGCGACGCCGCGUGAGCGAUGAAGGUUUUCGGAUCGUAAAGCUCUGUCCUAGGGGCCAAUAAUGACGGUACCCUAGGAGGAAGCCUCGGCGAACUACGUGCCAGCAGCCGCGGAAAUACGUAGGGGGCGUGCGUUGUCCGGUUUUAUUGGGCGUAAAGGGUACGCAGGCGGCCAGGUAAGUCAGAUGUGAAAGAUCACGGAUCAACCGUAGUAAGCAUUUGAAACUGCUUGGCUUGAGUUAAGGAGAGGAAAGUGGAAUUCCUGGUGUAGCGGUGAAAUGCGUAGAUAUCAGGAGGAAUAUCAGUGGCGAAGGCGACUUUCUGGACUUAUACAGACGCUGAGGUAAGAAAGCGCGGGGAGCAAACA
rnacentral:rRNA from 1 species